rnacentral:rRNA from 1 species
CGAAGAACCUUACCUGGUCUUGACAUCCCUYUGACCGGCAAGUAAUGUUGCCUUUCCUUCGGGACAGAGGAGACAGGUGGUGCAUGGUUGUCGUCAGCUCGUGUCGUGAGAUGUUGGGUUAAGUCCCGCAACGAGCGCAACCCUUACCUUCAGUAACCAGCACGUAAUGGUGGGGACUCUGGAGGGACUGCCAGGGACAACCUGGAGGAAGGUGGGGAUGACGUCAAAUCAUCAUGCCCCUUAUGACCAGGGCUACACACGUGCUACAAUGGCGUAAACAAAGAGAGGCGAGGCUGUGAAGCGGAGCAAAUCUCAAAAAUAACGUCUCAGUUCGGAUUGUAGUCUGCAACUCGACUACAUGAAGCUGGAAUCGCUAGUAAUCGCGGAUCAGAAUGCCGCGGUGAAUACGUUCCCGGGUCUUGUACACA